rnacentral:rRNA from 1 species
GGGGAAUAUUGGACAAUGGGCGAAAGCCUGAUCCAGCCAUGCCGCGUGAGUGAUGAAGGCCCUAGGGUUGUAAAGCUCUUUUGUGCGGGAAGAUAAUGACGGUACCGCAAGAAUAAGCCCCGGCUAACUUCGUGCCAGCAGCCGCGGUAAUACGAAGGGGGCUAGCGUUGCUCGGAAUCACUGGGCGUAAAGGGUGCGUAGGCGGGUUUCUAAGUCAGAGGUGAAAGCCUGGAGCUCAACUCCAGAACUGCCUUUGAUACUGGAAGUCUGGAGUUCGGGAGAGGUGAGUGGAACUGCGAGUGUAGAGGUGAAAUUCGUAGAUAUUCGCAAGAACACCAGUGGCGAAGGCGGCUCACUGGCCCGAUACUGACGCUGAGGCACGAAAGCGUGGGGAGCAAACA